rnacentral:rRNA from 1 species
CUCAGAACGAACGCUGGCGGCAGGCUUAACACAUGCAAGUCGAACGCUGUAGCAAUACAGAGUGGCAGACGGGUGAGUAACGCGUGGGAACGUGCCCUUCGGUUCGGAAUAACUCAGGGAAACUUGAGCUAAUACCGGAUACGUGCGAGAGCAGAAAGAUUUAUCGCCGAAGGAUCGGCCCGCGUCCGAUUAGCUAGUUGGUGAGGUAAUGGCUCACCAAGGCGACGAUCGGUAGCUGGUCUGAGAGGAUGAUCAGCCACACUGGGACUGAGACACGGCCCAGACUCCUACGGGAGGCAGCAGUGGGGAAUAUUGGACAAUGGGCGAAAGCCUGAUCCAGCCAUGCCGCGUGAGUGAUGAAGGCCCUAGGGUUGUAAAGCUCUUUCGCCAGGGACGAUAAUGACGGUACCUGGAUAAGAAGCCCCGGCUAACUUCGUGCCAGCAGCCGCGGUAAUACGAAGGGGGCUAGCGUUGUUCGGAUUGACUGGGCGUAAAGGGCGUGUAGGCGGUUGCCCAAGUCCGAUGUGAAAGCCCGGGGCUUAGCCUCGGAAGUGCAUCGGAAACUAGGCAGCUGGAGCGCGAUAGAGGAGGGUAGAAUUCCUGGUGUAGCGGUGAAAUGCGUAGAUAUCAGGAGGAAUACCUGUGGCGAAAGCGGCUCACUGGACCAUAACUGACGCUGAUGCACGAAAGCUAGGGGAGCAAACAGGAUUAGAUACCCUGGUAGUCCUAGCCCUAAACGAUGACUGCUUGGUGUGGGGUACCCAAUCCCGCCGUGCCGUAGCUAACGCGUUAAGCAGUCCGCCUGGGGAGUACGGUCGCAAGGCUGAA